UGAGGAGAAAAUACAAAAAUUGCAGCUUCUUUUAUUAAUUAGAUUAAUGUCACAGAAGUGUCUCAAUGAGCGCAACAGGUUUCGUUUAAUAUGUGGUAGAGUCGAGAAAGGAGCAAUAAAGUUAAUACUAUAUUCAGUGAACUUAGUAAUAGUUGACGUGACGUGUUUAGAUAAGUGCAUCAUCUCAUUGUACACCAAUAGCGCCAAGCCUUUCUUUGUUGCUGAAUUCGUGCUCUGUCUACAACAGUGAAAGAAUCUAUUUAAAGUAAAAGUGGCUAUUUGAAUAGCCAAGAAGACUUGAGAUUUCUGACACGUAAAAGAACCUCUAAUAUAC
rnacentral:lncRNA from 1 species